rnacentral:rRNA from 1 species
GAUGAACGCUGGCGGCGUGCCUAAUACAUGCAAGUCGAGCGAACAGACGAGGAGCUUGCUCCUCUGACGUUAGCGGCGGACGGGUGAGUAACACGUGGAUAACCUACCUAUAAGACUGGGAUAACUUCGGGAAACCGGAGCUAAUACCGGAUAAUAUAUUGAACCGCAUGGUUCAAUAGUGAAAGACGGUUUUGCUGUCACUUAUAGAUGGGUCCGCGCCGCAAUAGCUAGUUGGUAAGGUAACGGCUUACCAAGGCAACGAUGCGUAGCCGACCUGAGAGGGUGAUCGGCCACACUGGAACUGAGACACGGUCCAGACUCCUACGGGAGGCAGCAGUAGGGAAUCUUCCGCAAUGGGCGAAAGCCUGACGGAGCAACGCCGCGUGAGUGAUGAAGGUCUUCGGAUCGUAAAACUCUGUUAUUAGGGAAGAACAAAUGUGUAAGUAACUAUGCACGUCUUGACGGUACCUAAUCAGAAAGCCACGGCUAACUACGUG